rnacentral:rRNA from 1 species
UACGUAGGGUCCGAGCGUUGUCCGGAAUUACUGGGCGUAAAGAGCUCGUAGGUGGUUUGCCGCGUUGUUCGUGAAAACUCACAGCUCAACUGUGGGCGUGCGGGCGAUACGGGCAGACUAGAGUACUGCAGGGGAGACUGGAAUUCCUGGUGUAGCGGUGAAAUGCGCAGAUAUCAGGAGGAACACCGAUGGCGAAGGCAGGUCUCUGGGCAUUAACUGACGCUGAGGAGCGAAAGCAUGGGGAGCGAACAGG